rnacentral:rRNA from 1 species
GACGAACGCUGGCGGCGUGCUUAACACAUGCAAGUCGAACGGAAAGGCCUGCUUUCCCUUGUGGAUUGCGGGUACUCGAGUGGCGAACGGGUGAGUAACACGUGAGUGAUCUGCCCCCAACUUGGGUAUAAGCCUGGGAAACUGGGUCUAAUUCCCGAUAGGACUGCAGGGUGGUGCCUGUGGUGGAAAACGAUUUUCUAGUGGUUGGGGAUGAGCUCGCGGCCUAUCAGCUUGUUGGUGGGGUAAUGGCCUACCAAGGCGGCGACGGGUAGCCGGCCUGGGAGGGUGGACGGGCAAUUUAGGAGGGGGAGACGGCCCGGACUCGAAGGGGGGGCAGAAGGGGGGAAUAUGGCAGAAGGGGGGGAGACUGGACGCGGGGCGCCCGCGGGGGGGAUGCCGGCCUUGGGGUGGAAAACUCCUUUCGGCCGGGAGAAAGCCCCCUGGUUGGAAGGGUGGUAAGGGAGGUGGUAAAAAAAGCCCCGGCUAACUAGGG